rnacentral:rRNA from 1 species
UACGUAGGGUGCAAGCGUUGUCCGGAUUUAUUGGGCGUAAAGAGCUCGUAGGCGGUUUCGUAAGUCGGAAGUCAAAACAUAAGGCUCAACCUUGUGUCGCUUCCGAUACUGCGAUGACUUGAGUUUGGUAGGGGAUGAGGGAAUUCCUGGUGUAGCGGUGAAAUGCGCAGAUAUCAGGAGGAACACCGGUGGCGAAGGCGCUCAUCUGGGCCAAUACUGACGCUGAGGAGCGAAAGCGUGGGGAGCGAACAGG